CUGCAGUCGGAUUUAGAAUGUGUGGAAGAGCCCAGGUUGUGAAGAGGGGCGCGUCUAUCCUAGCUGGUAUCGUGUUACCCAAGCGCUUGGGGACCGCGGAGGUGUAGCACUGUAGUGCGUUUGAAGACUUUCUGUGUCCGAGGGGAGUGGAGAGCUGGGAGAGUUCAAGGUGACUGUGGAGAUGAGAGGGCCAGUCGCAGGGAGCAUACUUCUGCAAUCACAUAGCCUUGGACCUAUCACAACACUCCAUGUGGUACAGGGAGCUAUCACUGGUAACACAGUGAGAUAGGGGACGGGAGGCGAGAGGCGCAGGUGGAGGAGGACAUUUGAGAUGGGGGAGAGUCUGACAGUUGGACAUUCUAAGUCUGUGUACUGUUUCAGUUUUCAAACAGCCUACCUGUCUAUGAAUCUGGAGAUGUUUGGGAAGGAGAGGACAUCCCAGCCACUUGGCAGUUUUGUCACUGCUACUUCCUACCGACGGGCACCUGGCCAGCUGAGUGCAGGUGGGCUGUCCUUCAACAUAAGGCUCUUGAUGUUCUCACCCCAAAUACACACAGGUACACACAUACACAGGAGGAGUUGAAGGCGGAGCAUGCCUUGUACAUGCGGCAGCACCCGGAUCUCUGCGCCAUGAUGGCUGACUUCUUGCAGUUCCUGUUACUACGAAAACCGUGUGAUGUCAUUAUGUACGCCCGCGGACAGUGGUGUAAAGUACUUAAGUAAAAAUACUUGAAAGUACUACUUAAGUAGUUUUUGGGGGUAUCUGUACUUUACCCUUACUAUUUAUAUAUGUGGUCCCAUGUGGCUCAGUUGGUAGAGCAUGGCGCUUGCAAUGCCAGGGUUGUGGGUUCAAUUCCCACGGGGGGACCAGGGUUCAAUUCCCACGGGGGGACCAGGAUGAAUAUGUAUGAACUUUCCAAUUUGUAAGUCGCUCUGGAUAAGAGCGUCUGCUAAAUGACUUAAAUGUAUUGUAAAAUGUAUAUUUUUGACAACUUUUACUUCACUACUUUCCUAAAGAAAAUAAUGUACUUUUUACUCCAUACAUUUUCUCUGACACCCAAAAGUACUGGAAAAUGGUCUAAUUCACACACUCAUCAAGAGAACAUCCCUGGUCAUCCCUACUGCUUCUGAUCUGGCGGACUCACUAAACACAUGCUUAAUUUGUAAAUUAUGUUGGAG